GUCAGGAAGAGGAAAAAUAGAGGGCCUUAGAGUAGUGGAAAUGGGGACAUGGAGGAAAGCCUAACUUGCUGUAUUUUCACCUCUAGUGUUGGAGGUGAGAAUUCAACUUGGUGUUUCUUGAUGCCUCCCUUCCUAUUAUUCUAAAGCACUCCUUCCUCUUCCUUUGCUGU
rnacentral:pre_miRNA from 1 species